GGCAACGGCUACUUCCGCUUCCAACGGGGAGACGUGGGUUCAAAUCCCACCGCCA
rnacentral:tRNA from 1 species